UUUCCGUAGGUGAACCUGCGGAAGGAUCAUUUCCGAAAACAAACUCUUACAAACCAAUCUUGUGGAAUGUUUUGGGUUUUUUUACUCUAGAAGCUAGGGUUUAGUUGCAAUAAUAGUGACAACAGCCGUACCAGUGGGUGCACUCAGCUGUUGCCCUCCUAUUACGCAAUGCUCGACGCCCUAACCUUCUGGAGGCCAUGAUGAACUACCUUCGGGUUGAUAGUAUCGUUCUUUCUUACUCUUGUUGUCGCAAGACAACAGAACAAAACAACAAUGAUACGACAACUUUUAACGGUGGAUCUCUUGGCUCGU
rnacentral:misc_RNA from 1 species